rnacentral:rRNA from 1 species
UACGGGGGGGGCAAGCGUUGUUCGGAAUUACUGGGCGUAAAGGGCUUGUAGGCGGCCAACUAAGUCCGACGUGAAAUCCCCAGGCUUAACCUGGGAACUGCGUCGGAUACUGGAUGGCUUGAAUUCGGGAGAGGGAUGCAGAAUUCCAGGUGUAGCGGUGAAAUGCGUAGAUAUCUGGAGGAAUACCGGUGGCGAAGGCGGCAUCCUGGACCGACAUUGACGCUGAGACGCGAAAGCGUGGGGAGCAAACAGG